AGUGGAAUAGCUGGGUCAAAUGGUGGUUCCAUUCUAAGUUUUCCAGUGUGGUUGUAACAAUUUGCAGUCCCACCAGCAAU
rnacentral:pre_miRNA from 1 species